UGCUUCGACCCAAUCAGAAGGUCUAGACCAGGUUACCAGAAGCAAUCCGUGAUCCCCUACGACGGUGAAUGAAAGAAAUGCUGGGAAUACACAGAGCAAAGCCCAAGAGUUGGUUUUGAAGCUCGCCUGAAGAUAAUUCAUUGAUACGAACGAGGAGUAUGAAUUACAGAGAAGCUGAGCCAAAAAGGCUGUGACAGUAGUCAGUCCACAUAAGAAACAGAAGAGCCAGAAUUACAACCAUGAUGGGGAAAUAAAAGAGGUGCAGUCCCAGGAGAGAAGAGCUGUCUCUAGUCCGUGUCAAUGCAGGGAGUCUCCGAGGUACUGCCCCAGUCACCUUCAUGGGCUCUGAGUUUCCUUGAUGUGGCUAACUUCCCGGUCUCUCCCUUCAGGUCUGUCCUCUCGCUUAACCAUCAAACUUGUAUUUCUGGGCGCUUACUUGGUAUUUGCCCUUUCACCUUUGACACCAGACUACAUCUCACUACAAUCUCUUUGCUGUUGAUAAGUGAAGAAAAUCAUUGCCAUUUACCCUUACCCACCCCCAUCAGACCAUUGUAACUAACAUAUCGUUUUCAUGCCAACAUUCAUGCCAUUUCCCAACCUUCCUCUCUGCACAUUUUCAAAACCCAGAAUCUUUCAAGGAUCUGAAGAUACCAAAGAAGGGUUCUUUAUCAUUUUGGGUCAUGGACUUCCUUGUAUUAUCUGAUGAAGCUUAUGGCCCCUUCCCAGGACAAUGCUUUCAAGUACUGAA